AGCCGGAUUGUGUAAAGGUAGCACGACAGACUCUGACUCUGUUUGUGAGGGUUCGAAUCCUUCUCCGGCUGCCA
rnacentral:tRNA from 1 species